rnacentral:rRNA from 1 species
GUCUAUGGCCAUGCCACCCUGAACAAGCUCGAUCCCAUCUGAUCUCGGAAGCUAAGCAGAGUCGGACCUGGUUAGUACUUGGAUGGGAGACCACGUAGGAAGACCAGGGCUGUAGGCA